UACGUAGGGGGCGAGCGUUGUCCGGAAUCAUUGGGCGUAAAGAGCGUGUAGGCGGCUUGGUAAGUCCGCUGUGAAAGUCCAGGGCUCAACCCUGGAAUGCCGGUGGAAACUGUCAAGCUUGAGUCCGGAAGAGGCGAGUGGAAUUCCUGGUGUAGCGGUGAAAUGCGCAGAUAUCAGGAGGAACACCAAUGGCGAAGGCAGCUCGCUGGGACGGUACUGACGCUGAGACGCGAAAGCCAGGGGAGCAAACGGG
rnacentral:rRNA from 1 species